UAAGGAAUAUUGGGCAAUGGGCGAAAGCCUGACCCAGCAACGCCGCGUGGAGGAAGAAGGCCUUCGGGUCGUAAACUCCUUUUGUGUGGGACAAGAGAGGAUGGUACCACACGAAUAAGUCACGGCUAACUACGUGCCAGCAGCCGCGGUAAAACGUAGGUGACAAGCGUUAUCCGGAUUUACUGGGCGUAAAGCGUGUGCAGGCUGUCGGACAAGUGGUGUAUGAAAGCGCCCGGCUUAACCGGGCGAGGUUAUGCCAGACUGUUCGGCUAGAGGCAAUAAGAGGGACAUGGAAUUCCGGGUGUAGUGGUGAAAUGCGUAGAUAUCCGGAGGAACACCAGAGGCGAAGGCGGUGUCCUGGUAUUGACCUGACGCUCAGACACGAAAGCACGGGUAGCGAACGGG
rnacentral:rRNA from 1 species